rnacentral:lncRNA from 1 species
AUUGUCUUCAUGAAUCCUUUGCUUAUGGCCAUGCAAGUCUCCUGCGUUUCGACAGCUUUAAUAAUUACCUUGGUGGCCUCUAUCCUUGCUUCCUUGGCCAAUCCUAUUUGAUCAAAAAAAUUUCUGAACUUUGCCCCGUUCAUCAAUGCCGUCACUUACAGACCUGGAUCACACUCCUCCUUUUCUUCCAUCAUCAUCUCCACUUCUGGGAUUGUGUUAUGGAUAACAGUGUUGCAUGUUUCUUUCCCCUUGUGGUUUGGCAGUGGCUUGUCGUGAACACUGCUUUCCUUUCCCAGUUCAAUUUCCCCAUUUGUCAGCUUCUCAUGGUAUAUCAUUCGCAGGCUGUAACAAUCCAUAGUGGAAUGUCCCG